GGGCAGCACUAGAUUUCGGUCUAGGUGGCGACCGGCGGACGGGUGCGUAACGCGUAUGCAACCUACCUUAUACAGGGGGAUAGCCCAGAGAAAUUUGGAUUAAUACCCCAUGGUAUUGUUUAGAGGCAUCUUUAGACACUUAAAGAUUUAUUGGUAUAAGAUGGGCAUGCGUCUGAUUAGUUAGUUGGUGAGGUAAUGGCUCACCAAGGCGACGAUCAGUAGGGGUUCUGAGAGGAUGAUCCCCCACACUGGCACUGAGAUACGGGCCAGACUCCUACGGGAGGCAGCAGUAGGGAAUAUUGGUCAAUGGGCGAGAGCCUGAACCAGCCAUGCCGCGUGCAGGAAGACGGCCUUCUGGGUUGUAAACUGCUUUUAUAUGGGAAGAAAAGGGUCCUGCGGGACACAUUGCCGGUACCAUAUGAAUAAGCACCGGCUAACUCCGUGCCAGCAGCCGCGGUAAUACGGAGGGUGCAAGCGUUGUCCGGAUUUAUUGGGUUUAAAGGGUACGUAGGCGGCCGAUUAAGUCAGUGGUGAAAACCUCCAGCUCAACUGGAGAGGUGCCAUUGAUACUGGUUGGCUUGAGUUCUGUUAAGGUAGGCGGAAUUGAUGGUGUAGCGGUGAAAUGCAUAGAUACCAUCAGG
rnacentral:rRNA from 1 species